rnacentral:rRNA from 1 species
GGAAGUAAAUGUCGUAACAAGGUCUCCGUUGGUGAACCAGCGGAGGGAUCAUUA